rnacentral:rRNA from 1 species
UUAGAGUUUGAUCCUGGCUCAGGAUGAAUGCUAGCGGCAGGCUUAACACAUGCAAGUCGAGGGGCAGCAUGGGAGUAGCAAUACUUCUGAUGGCGACCGGCGCACGGGUGCGUAGCGCGUAUGCAACCUACCUGUAACAGGGGGAUAACACUGACAAAUCGGUACUAAUACCGCAUAACACUAUGAGAGGCAUCUCUUGUGGUUGAAAGUUUCGGCGGUUACAGAUGGGCAUGCGUUGUAUUAGCUGGUUGGUAAGGAAACGGCUUACCAAGGCGACGAUACAUAGGGGGACUGAGAGGUUAACCCCCCACAUUGGUACUGAGACACGGACCAAACUCCUACGGGAGGCAGCAGUGAGGAAUAUUGGUCAAUGGACGGAAGUCUGAACCAUCCAUGCCGCGUGCAGGAAGACGGCUCUAUGAGUUGUAAACUGCUUUUGUACAAGGGUAAACCUGAAUACGUGUAUUCAGCUGAAAGUACUGUACAAAUAAGGAUCGGCUAACUCCGUGCCAGCAGCCGCGGUAAUACGGAGGAUCCAAGCGUUAUCCGGAUUUAUUGGGUUUAAAGGGUGCGUAGGCGGAUUGAUAAGUUAGAGGUGAAAUGUCCGAGCUCAACUCGGGAACUGCCUCUAAUACUGUUGAUCUAGAGAGUAGAUGCGGUAGGCGGAAUGUAUGGUGUAGCGGUGACAUGCUUAGAGAUCAUACAUAACACCGAUUGCGAAGGCAGCUUACCAAUCUAUAUCUGACGUUGAGGCACGAAAGCGUGGGGAGCAAACAGGAUUAGAUACCCUGGUAGUCCACGCAGUAAACGAUGAUAGCUCGUUGUCGGCGAUACACAGUCGGUGAUUAAGAGAAAUCGAUAAGCUAUCCACAUGGGGAGUACGUUUGCAAGAAAGAAACUCAAAGGAAUUGACGGGGGCCCGCUCGAGCGGAGGAACAUGUGGUUUAAUUCGAUGAUUCGCGAGGAACCUUACCCGGGCUUGAAAGUUCGUGACUGAUCUGGAAACAGGUCUUCCCUUCGGGGCACGAAAAUAGGUGCUGCAUGGUUGUCGUCAGCUCGUGCCGUGAGGUGUCGGGUUAAGUCCCAUCACGAGCGCAACCCCUCCUGAUAGUUGCCAUCAGGUCAAGCUGGGCACUCUAUCGGGACUGCCGGUGUAAGCCGGAGGAGGGUGGGGAUGACGUCAAAUCAGCCCGGCCCUUACGUCCGGGGCGACACACGUGUUGUCAAUGGUAGGUACAGAGGGCCGCUACCCAGUGAUGGGGUGCAAAUCUCUGAAAGCCUAUCUCUAGUUCUGGAUUGGAAGUCUGAAACUCGCCUCCAUGAAGUUGGAUUCGCUAGUAAUCGCGCAUCAGCCAUGGCGCGGUGAAUACGUUCCCGGGCCUUGCACUCACCGCCCGUCA